rnacentral:lncRNA from 1 species
GUUCAUCUAACUGACAAGUCCUUCGCAAACCAAGUUAUUAAACUUAUAACCUUAUGUUAGACCUAACUUCUAAAGACAAUUUCUCUUUUGUUCCUCUAGCAACCAAGCCUAUUUCGCUGACUUGAUUACUAUUAGAUUUUAGUUCUAAGUUGCAACUAAGCAUAUUUCGCUGACUUGAUCACAAUUAGAAUCCUUGAAGUUCGAAACUAUAUGUCUCAAAAAUUGUAAAGACUAUUUCGCUGCCUUUACAAUCUUUGUCUAAAUUCACUUGUUCGAAUAUCAAAGCUCCA